GCCAAAGUGGUGUAGUGGUUAACACUCCCGGUACGAUGCGCUUCUUGUAUCAAAGCCACCCUUGUGUGACGGACUAGCCCCCCUCUACAUAACACAGCUGAGAAAGUACUGGCACGUUGCUUUACGCAGCCCCUGGGAAAAAGAAGGCGCCGUUAUAAGAGGGGUCAGCUUACCUAUAAGAAGGCCCUUUGGUAGGUCGCGUAGCGGUUGACGGGAAAUCCAGGUUCGAAUCCUGGCUUUGGCU